GAUGAACGUUGGCGGUGUGCCUAAUACAUGCAAGUCGAACGGAGAUUGUAGCAAUACAAAUCUUAGUGGCGAACGGGUGAGUAACGCGUUGGUGAUCUGCCUCGAAGUGUGGAAUAACCUCCCGAAAGGGAAGCUAAUACCGCAUGGUCUCUCAAGGUUUAGAAAAUUGAGAGUAAAGGAUUUAUUCGCUUCGAGAGGAGCCUGCGUCCCAUCAGCUCGUUGGUAGGGUAACGGCCUACCAAGGCUAUGACGGGUAGGGGACCUGAGAGGGUGGCCCCCCACAAUGGAACUGAAACACGGUCCAUACACCUACGGGUGGCAGCAGUAGGGAAUAUUAGAAAUGGGCGGAAGCCUGAUCUAGCAACACCGCGUGUGCGAUGAAGGCCUUCGGGUCGUAAAGCACUUUUUGGAGGGAAUAGGAAGGAAGGUACCUACCAGAAUAAGUCUCGGCUAACUACGUG
rnacentral:rRNA from 1 species